CGAAAGAACUUUAGUGAAAUUAAAAAUGAGUUGCAUCAAAAUGUUGCGCUUGAGUGUACUAAUCAUUCAUAUAAAAACUAACAAUAAGUGUAAUAUUAAUAUUAUCGGAGAAUCUUGUACUUAGUCUAAAAUCUGUCACAUAUAUUUUCUUUGCAGCGCUGUAAGAAACCGUUGACAUCCUAACUGGAUUUUCAGGAUACCAACAGGUCUGCUUAAGUAGCUAUAAGGAAAUUUUACCCGAGUUGAGGGUUCUUUUGACGCUCGUUUACAAAAAAAAAACGCGGCUAAUAAACGCAUUCUACUAAAUACGCUAUUGAAAAUUUUGUUCAACCUCAACGCAGUAGAGAGCAAAUGCGGUAGCUCUAUCAAGAAACUGCAACGAGACAUAAAUAACUGCAUCUCGUCACUCCAAUUUCAUAAUAUUCCCAGUGGGAAAAUGAAUGUAUAGUAAUCGAAAAAAUAAUCAGUAAGACAACCCUUUUCACAUUCGAAAAUGCAUUUUUUCCCCAGGGCGAUGUCCUAGUAUCGAG